UGGGGUCUUAGCUCAGCUGGGAGAGCAUCUGCCUUACAAGCAGAGGGUCAUAGGUUCGAGCCCUAUAGGCCCCAU
rnacentral:tRNA from 13 species